AGAGGAAGUAAAAGGCCGUAAACAGGUUUCGUAGGGGAACUGCGGAAGGAUCAUUACUGGCCUUGGGCCACUCGCGGGAGCUAGUCGCUUGCGAUGAUGCUGCCGAGGGUGCUUUAGCCCUUGACUAUCACCUUGAUUAUGUGCACCUUUUGUUGUUUCCUCGGCAGGUCCCCUGCCGCUAGGAACCCCAUAAACUCUUUUGUAUUAGUAUCUAAAUCUCUGAAAACAAAACUAAAUUAUUUACAACUUUUAACAAUGGAUCUCUUGGUUCUGGCAUCGAUGAAGAACGCAGCGAAAUGCGAUAAGUAGUGUGAAUUGCAGAAUUCAGUGAAUCAUCGAAUCUUUGAACGCACAUUGCGCCCCUUGGUAUUCCAUGGGGCAUGCCUGUUCGAGCGUCAUUUACACCCUCAAGCUCUGCUUGGUGUUGGGCGUCUGUCCCGCUUCGUGCGCGGACUCGCCCUAAAGGUAUUGGCAGCGGUCAUGCCAGCUUCUCGCGCAGCACAUUGCGCUUCUCGAGGCACCGGCGGAUCAGCGUCCAUCAAGCCCACUUCCACAGUUUGACCUCGGAUCAGGUAGGGAUACCCGCUGAACUUAAGCAUAUCAAUAAG
rnacentral:rRNA from 1 species